rnacentral:rRNA from 1 species
CACAUGCAGUCGAACGAGAAUCUGUGGAUCGAGGAUUCGUCCAAGUGAAGCAGAGGACAGUGGCGGACGGGUGAGUAACGCGUGAGGAACCUGCCUUUCAGAGGGGGACAACAGUUGGAAACGACUGCUAAUACCGCAUGAUACAUUUGGGUGGCAUCAUCUGAAUGUCAAAGAUUUAUCGCUGAAAGAUGGCCUCGCGUCUGAUUAGCUGGUUGGUGAGGUAACGGCCCACCAAGGCGACGAUCAGUAGCCGGACUGAGAGGUUGACCGGCCACAUUGGGACUGAGAUACGGCCCAGACUCCUACGGGAGGCAGCAGUGGGGAAUAUUGGGCAAUGGGCGCAAGCCUGACCCAGCAACGCCGCGUGAAGGAAGAAGGCUUUCGGGUUGUAAACUUCUUUUAAGAGGGAAGAGCAGAAGACUGUACCUCUAGAAUAAGCCACGGCUAACUACGUGCCAGCAGCCGCGGUAAUACGUAGGUGGCAAGCGUUGUCCGGAUUUACUGGGUGUAAAGGGCGUGCAGCCGGGAAUGCAAGUCAGAUGUGAAAUCCAUGGGCUUAACCCAUGAACUGCAUUUGAAACUGUAUUUCUUGAGUACUGGAGAGGCAAUCGGAAUUCCUAGUGUAGCGGUGAAAUGCGUAGAUAUUAGGAGGAACACCAGUGGCGAAGGCGGAUUGCUGGACAGCAACUGACGGUGAGGCGCGAAAGUGUGGGGAGCAAACAGGAUUAGAUACCCUGGUAGUCCACACUGUAAACGAUGAAUACUAGGUGUGCGGGGACUGACCCCCUGCGUGCCGCAGUUAACACAAUAAGUAUUCCACCUGGGGAGUACGAUCGCAAGGUUGAAACUCAAGGAAUUUGACGGGGGCCCGCACAAGCGGUGGAUUAUGUGGUUUAAUUCGAAGC